rnacentral:rRNA from 1 species
UAGGGAAUCUUCCACAAUGGGCGAAAGCCUGAUGGAGCAACACCGCGUGAGUGAAGAAGGGUUUCGGCUCGUAAAGCUCUGUUGUUAAAGAAGAACACGUAUGAGAGUAACUGUUCAUACGUUGACGGUAUUUAACCAGAAAGUCACGGCUAACUACGUGCCAG